UAAAAAAAGAAAAUAAAAAUGCUUCCUCCCCCUUUUCUAAAGAGUAUUGAUUUCCCUUAGGAACUAACAGAAUAUCUCCAGCCAUGCUUAAUUUGGAGUUCAUGUGGUAUUGGAAACUCUGUGACACUCUACAAUUUUUUUUUCCUGAAUUCGUUCUUUCAUGUGCUGUACUUCACUGAGAUUGUUUAAAAUUAACUUAUAGUUGCUAUUAAAAGACCUCUUGUGGACCACAAUGCAGUGAUUGUUGUGAAAGUGCUUGUAAUUCAACUACUAAUGAGACAAACACACUUGAAGAUAAAGAAUUACAGUGUUGGAAGAUAGGAAUAAACAAAAAGAAGGCAAGGCCUAACUCUGCCUUAAGGAAUUGAUGAACCUCUCUUCAAGGAGGAGCUAUCUGAGUUAAGAUACAACCGAGAAGUAAGAUUUCUCAGGUUGAAGAAGAAUAGAGAGGCACAUUUGAAGCAUGAGAAAUGCCUUUGAAGGGUGCAAAAUUAUGGACUUCAGUGAAAGUCAAAAUGUUUGUACAGCUGGAUAGGGAAAAAUAGGGAUUUGGGUGAAGUUCAUGGAGGUUGGAGAGAAAAUGAUAAAAACAAAGGUUGGUCCAGAUACAAAGGGUUAUGUAUACCACAUGAGGGAGUUUUCCUUUUGCCCUUUAGGGACACGGGGCCAUUAUAUGUGUUUCAAUGUGACUAAAACUUGCUUUUGAGCAACAUAGACUUGGACUAUUAUCUAAGACUCAGUUUUCAACUUGUGAAAUAGGAAGAAUAUUAGUACGCAGUAUAUAGGCUCACUUUAUGGAAUUUAAGUGUGAUAGAGCAAGUGAGCCUUCUUGCCACAGUGCCUGGAAUACGGUCAAUAUUCAAUAGAUACCAACCACUGUAGUAAAAAAAAAAUCUCAUGAAAUUAAGCGCUACCCUUUUUGAUUUGACACUUUUCUCUUGUAGAUUCUUGCCCUAGGCAGCCAGAGCCAACACUCUGCUUCAGGAAAACAAAAUUUUUAUGGCACAAGUGUUUUUAAAAUAGGUUCUUCAAGUCUAGUAAGAGGCCAUUUUAGAAAAUAUAAUUUUUUAUUUACAAGAGCAGGAUUUUGUUAGGAAAAAAAAAGACUCUGAAGAAUCAAUGGGAGAAGAUUUUGAAGAAUGCAGGAUAUAAAGCAUAUUUUUAAACAAAAGAUCAAACGGAUGAUAAAGGAAGACUAUCUGCUUACAUCCCAGAGGCUAAAUGAACUUCAUAUGGACUGUGGGGAAGUUAGAGAAGAAUUGGAUGGAGAUGUGUCUUUAAGACGUUCUAUUGGGCUUGAGGCAGGGAACUACAUCUAAGGGUUCUGGGGAAAGUGAAUUCAAUAGCAGUAGGACUGACCACCAUCACCUGUUCCUAGUGUCAGGGAGCAUCAUGAAAGGCAAGCUGAUGUCUUGGGGCUUCUUAGCUCAUGAAAUGAGCACUAAAUGUCCUCUGUUGAGGAGUCAACCGGUUAGCCUUCCCACCACUUAGUGGGAGAACUUCCGCUUUUCAGUGGGGGAUCAUCCAUCAGUAGCUGUCCGAGUUGUCUGAGUAUUUUCCUACACAAGUUUCUUCCUGUUUACUUCUUGAUUCCUGUCUGCACUGCACUGUACAUAUAUUUUCCUUUCUCAUUAUCCAAGUACACUUGUAAACCCCAGACACUGAUGGUAGAAUUGGUGACAAGCGAACAAGUUUAAUGGUGGCGAAGAAAAAGUCCUCGGCAUCCACAGUUGCUGAAACCCGUCCCCAAUUUGACAUUAACAGAAAUUUAAGAAUCAUUUUAGCAUUAUUAUUGGAAGAUAAAAACAACUUAGCAGAGUGUGGGAAAAUCCCAGGUGACAGACUAAAAUAAGCCAUAUAUUUUAUUGGUAGAUUGCUCACAGAGACUUUAUCUUUUUUGGUCAUGAUUGUUCCUGGCGCAAAGCAGAGUGAUGAUAUAUUGGAGGGCUUUUGGAGUUUCACAUCUAAUGCCUUGUUUCCUCUUCAGGCUUGGGGAUAGCCAGACGAUGUAUUCGUAAACCCCCCUAAAUCUAGUUUUAUUAUUGUAAGUGGGAUUAAUGAUAUGUAAUCUUCACUCAGUUAUAGUUACAAUGAGGUAAAGUAUGAGAAGAGUUUAGUUAUUAUUAUCAUUAUUAUUAUUAUUAUUAACAAAGCCUGUCCAUACAGGAUUCUAUUUACACUCUUAGUUUUAUAUAUAUACACUUCAUUCAGCUCAUUGAUGACUAUCUUAAUGGUACAGUGAGGGGCAAAAAAGUAACAAAUCAUCAAAAGAUGAAAUCAAGUGCCUGGUUAAAACAGCCACCCUUUUGGACCAAACAGAAAGUUUGUUUAUGAAUCUUGAAAGAGAGUGGGGAGCCUGGGCAGGUUAAGAUGGUCUACCUCAUCAAGACUCCAGUUUUUGAAGUUGUAGCUGGAAGGGUUGAAAUUUACAGUACUCUUCUUCAACCAUCAAUAAUAUUUUCAUAGAAGUCUAGUAAUUUCUGGAGGCAGCGUGUACAUUUAGUGAGGGGAAUUUUUGCUUGUGAAUUUUCAAGUGUGAAAACAGUCAUUUUUGAUUAUUCCAGUAUUCUGAUUUAGCACAUGUAUUGAUUCUGAGGAUAAGGCAAAAUCUGCUACAUUUUGAUGUUGAGUAGUGAAAUAUGAUGUGAUUUGAAAGGAAUUUUUGAUAAUAGAUUUGGAGAAAAUCAUGUCCUUAAUUUCCUAACAGUGGAGUGGAUUUAAUGGAUGGUUAUAAGAUAUAUAUUUUAUGACUCCCUCUCAAAUAAGACCUUCCCUAUAUGCAUAUAUUUUACUGAAUUUUCAAACACACAAAAAACUUUACAAAAAUUUAGACCACUGGAUUCUGGAAAUGUGCUAUAAAAAAUGUUACAAUAAAAUACAAUUCAUAAUUUGAAAUUUCUAACUAAUACUAAGCAUUUUUAUUAGAGAAGUUACUGCUAAUCAUUUGAGAUUUUGAGGAAUCUACAAUAGAAUAAUAAAUACAUUCAGUGUAUUCUUAAUAGACAAUAGAAUAAUGACAAAGAUACUUGCAGAUUUUAUUUACUUAUUUUUCAUACUGAUGCUCAUCGAGUGAAUUAUUCACCAAAUCAUAUUGUCUAUAGAUAUUUUUAAAGUCUCAACAAAUCACAUCUUUCUGAAAUCAUCUUAAUGGAAUUUAGUUUGAGUUCUUUCCUCGAGUAUUAGAUUUAAUGUCAUUAAUGUGAUCCCUAUGGAUAUUAUGUCCCCUAUAAAUCAGUAUUUAUAAACCAGAGUCAGAAGAAGGAGGUCCUAAGAUCCUAUUCUUUCCUGGAUCCUUGAUUCCUUGCUUAUCCCUUAUCUUGGCUUAACUCCUUGCAAACGUUGCUAAUAGUAACCAAAAGAUGAAAGAUUUGAAAUUUCCACUUGUUUUUGUCUCUUCUAUAAUGUUAACUUAUCUAGAGAGCUAGACUGUG